AAAACCCCCCUCCACCCACCCCUCCUCCAAAAGAGUAAGUUCUCCCAUGGGGGGACAGCAAAGCCUGGUAUAUUCAGGACCAAGCCCCUUCCCCCUGCCUCAAGGUGAGCAAGGUGUCCGACCAUAAGUAAUGGGCUCCAGAAAGCCAGCUCAUGCACCAGGGAUAGAUUCUGGUCACACUGCCAGGGGCCCCUCAAACAGACCAAGCUACACAACUGUCUCUGGUAUGCAGAGGGCCUAGUCUGAGAGUGUAUAAAUUCUUAAAGGCAUUCAAAACUUACAAUUCAAAAUGUUGGCGUUGAGGCUAAUAGGAGUAAAGGACCAUUAGUGACCAGGAAGUCUGGUUCCACUUCUCUGCUUUCAGCAAAUAGAAGGGCUAUCUAAUUUGAAUUACCAGCUUAGGUUUAUUAGAGUUAAAUCUUGAUAAUGAAUUACUAUUUGAAUUAUGGCUUAUAAUUCAGAAGGAGUUUCAAACAUUUGAAAGACACAGCUAUAAUAAAUACCUUAUCCCCACUUACUUAUUUAUAUAAACAAGGUUUUUUUCCCCCCAGUGAGGGUUACAUUAAUAAAAACAAUAUGAAUGGAAUUGAUUCUGAAAGGCUGUCUCAUUCAAGGAGUAAGUAUGAACUCAUGGACCAACCAGGGGAGGUGGGGGAUGCUGUCGUAUUUAAUAGAAUUGCUUAGAAAUAGAAUUUACUUAGAAACUGUUUUUGAAACAGACAGAACUUUUGUCACAAACAUGCUGUGUCACAAACAGACAAAUCGACUUGUGUCUUUCUACAGUGUCAGAACUGAUUGAAUAAUAAUAAAUUCACAGGCACCUUCCGUUUCCUUGGCUGAAGUUUGCCAAGUAGUCUCGGUUUCCCUCAGUAGUUAGUCAAGGAAUACACAAUCCUUUGAUUCCAGUCUUGACUUUCAAUGUCAACUCUCAGAUCACACAUUGCAUGUUGCCCAGAAAAUGCACUUCUCUGUAUCUGGAAAUGUAAGCCAAAGGAUGGCUGCAAAAGGGCCAGAGAGGAGGCCUUCCUGUAAAGAGGAGCAGGUUGAUACAGAUGGGGAGAGACUCACUACCGAUGGUUAAAUAAGUCAACAAGCCCUGUUAAAGGGCUGAUCGCUCGGCCAGAGUUGAGCAGCCUGAGGAUCCAGCAGAGCUACCUAAGAGUGGGACCGUGGAGACCAUAGGGUCACUGUACAAACCUGGAUCCAGACAGAUAAAUGGGGCAAGUAGGCUGUAUCAGCCGUGAGGACUGAGCUGAAGCCUCUGGAACAGUUGGGAGUCCUCUGCCUGUUGGUCCCUCAAUGCACACAUCACAUUGGGUUGGUGGAGACUCACCCUCUUUAUGGGUCCAGGUGAGUGUGUUAUACCCUUUUCUCAGUCUGAUAUGCUUGAGACUAAAAAUGGAGUACAAUGCCGCUUGUAACAUGGGAGCUACUGGGGCGAGCUUGAGAAACCACUGUACGGAGUAUUUUAGAGCUGGAAACAGUCUGAUUUUGACAGUUUUUGACUGCUGGAUGAGAGUAUUUUAUUUAGGUGUUGUCAGAUAUGAGUGUAGAAGAUUCAUUAAAUAUAAGUGAUUAUGAGAGAGAUUUAUUUGUCUGUGAGUUUGAGACAACCCUGGUCUACGUAGUUCUAGGCCAACCAGAACUACAUAGUAAGACCCUGUCUCAAAAAAAGAAAAGACAGAUCUAUUUGAAAAUAAUCAGUGUUGUAACAUUCCAGAAAUUGUAUUUUUGUACCUAUUUAAAAUUAGAGUGGAAACAUGUAGUAUUUAUUUUGUUAUCAGUGUAUGGUUGGGGUAAUAUGCCACAGAGUGUAUGUGGAGGUCAGAGAACAACUUCGUGGAAUCAGUUCUCCCCACCCACCCUUAGGGGUGUUCCAGGAAUUGAUCUCAGUUGUCAGGUUUUGGUGGCAAAAGCUUUUUCUUAUAGAGACAUCUUGCCAGCCCUAAAAUCAAACAUUUUAGGUGUCAACUUAAAAACACGUGACAAGGUACCUACUACCUACUUUCCCCCCAAAUUUUCUGUAGUACAUAAGCAAAACGUCUUGGAGACCACUGCUCUAGGGCAGAAGUCCUCUGUCUCUGAUGGGAUUUAAGAAUACCCUGGGGGAACUUGUGAAAGCAGCGCGUUUUCAGGCUCAGGCCCCAGAGAUUUUCACUGUUGACUGUGUGGCUCUAACAAAUGUUCCCUGGUGAUUCUGACAUGAAUCCUGUGGACCUAUCUUCAGGAAAAACUGCCUCAAAUUUUCUUCUUCAAUCACAAUGAAUCAGCAGAAAAGCAACAUGACUUCAGUAAGCCCCCCCCCCCCCCCAUAGACGGCCACGCAUCACACCUUUCUUUCUGAAUAAGUGAAGGAAUGUUUUUGUUGGGUGGGGAAAACUGGACAGAUUAGUGGGCCACAUUUGUUUUUAUUUCCUUCUGUUUCAGUAGGGAGCUCAGAGGCAACUUUGAAUAUUUCAGCCCUAACUCCUGCUUAGGACCUAAUUUCUUGGUCUUGAUUUUUUUUAAUUAGUUUCUUAAAUUAGUUUUUUCAUAUUUUUAUAAACCACCUGAUCCUUUGUAAGUAAGUAUAGAGAAAAAUAAGUUUACCUCUGUGUAUAUUUUUAAAUAUGUGGAUACAUAGAUUAGACCAAAAGUUUCUUUUGUUUGGUUUUGUUUUGUUUUGUUUUUUUGUUGUUGUUGGUGGUGUGGUGGUGGUAGUGGUGUUGGUUUACUCAUAUGUGCCUAUAAAGAAACCUUGCUUCUAGAAGGCUGGACUGAUGAACUUCAGUAUAAUAUUUUGGGGCACCCCACUGAAAGGCAUAUUGGGAUUUCAGGAACACAGUCAGGAUGAGGGAAGUAAGAGAUCAAAUGCAUUCAGAAGAAAUGGAAGUUAAGUGCCCAGACUUCAGCCCCAUCAAGGAACUGUACAACUGUAGUAAGUAGCAAGUGGAAAAAGAAAGUGGAAUCUCUCAAGAUGGAGUAGUUGAGUCAGUCAGAAGAGUUUAUAGGUACACAGAAUUCACCUGAAAGAAAAUCUAGAGGAUUCUUAAAAGGAUGGUAACUAAGAUAGUUACACUUAAAAUCUUUUAAGAACCCUUGACAACAAUUUUUUUUUGUAAAAGAUAAAGGCUAGAAAGGAACUCAAGAACCAUUUAUUUGUCCUACAGUUUUUAUUAUUUAUUCUUUGACAAUUUCAUCCAUGUAUAUAAUGUGUUCUGAUUACUCUCUUCCCCCACAUCUUGCAUUUGUUUUUUAAGAAUAGACUUGCCUAGCUUUAAGUUUAUACAGAAAAAUGAGACAAAAAAAAUUGUUCUUAGGAUUUGUCAGGUUUAGAUCGGGGUCCUGCAAAGGAUGGGAGUCUCCUUUUGUUAAUACGAGAAGGAUGCUCCUCAUAGUCAGUAGGGCACUUUAGGAGCAAGGCUUGGCAAGGGAAAGGGGUGAAGACUCUCACUUGCUCUUCAAUGAGAAUGUCCUUAUAAGUGAAACAGCUCCAUACCCACAUACAGGUUAAACACGUUAUAUGUGAGAAGGUAGGAUGUGAGGUAACACUGUAAGACAGCAGAGGCCUUGUCUACAGUGUGCUAUGAGGAUGGAGCUUCAGUUCCACUGAAAAUACGACUCAGUCCUGUUGAUACUUACUCAUUUUCAAGAGAAGAUAGAAGUCUAGAUGUUUUGUGUGACCUCCUGACUUUUUGUUUUGUUUUGUUCUUGGUUUUUUUUUUUUUUUAAACAGGGUUUAAACAAGGCUCUAUAUAGCCUUGACUGUCCUGGAACUCUGUAAACCAGGCUGGCCUCAAACUCAGAGAUCCACCUGACUCUGCCUCCCCAAGUGCUGGGAUUGAAGGUGUGGGCCACUGGUGGGAGCCAUGUGACUUCUUUGGGGAACAAGGCCUGAGAAGAGCACAAACGGCUCUCCUUGUGGCAAAGUCCUGGAGACCCUGCUCCACUUGGCAAAGACCUAUGGACAGUUUGCUGUAUGAUUCUGGGCAUGACCCCAGGAGCAUGUGUGCUACCUGAUCUUCUUGUUUGCACCAUGCUAGUCAUACUGCCAGCCUGAAUGAAUCACAGUAGGUCAUGAAGUUUAAUAUUAUGUAUUUGCAUAACUGUUCUGGAAAGAAUGAGUUUAAUCACAAGUGUCUUUGAGAAUUGUUAUUAAAUAGAUGGUAUCAAGAGUUAAUGGGAACAGUCUAGGAACAAGGAAUGAAGUAGAAUCAUAGAAACUCACAGUUUCCUCAUUUCUAGUAACUGUGCCAAUACCCCCCAAGAAGUUAAGGGAGAAGAACAUGAGAGCAAGGGAUAAACAAUGCCAGCUAUUAAGAGUAAGUUUCCAAGUUAUAUUGCUUAUAGGAUAAAAGGAAAAAACCUGGUAUAUCCCCAGAGGAGAUAAAGUAGUACAGAAUGUAGAAUGAAUUGAUCCAGCUUUGGCUGGUGAUUUCAUUGUGAGAACCCAGACGCUACUAGAUGUAAAUAUUAACCACAAGAGACAAAACUCUCUCUCACCCUGCAUGACACUGAAACUGCAAAUGCUGCCAACUGGGCACACUGUUCUACCUGUGGGUAUGCCUAGUUGGAAAACUUCCUUUCUUAGCUUGCAAGACGGCUUAUGCUUCCAACAGUAGAGUUAUAGAUCUAAAAGGUAAUGGCUAGUGGUGGGAGAGCUGGGGGACAGAAAACGAAAGAGGCAAGGAACAAACUGGUAAUUAUCGUAACCAUUUUUAGAAACUUGAAGCAAAGCUGAUUGUAAAACAGUUCAUGCAAACCACUGAAACUGCAUAACUAAAAACAGCCCAGGCUAUCCAGGGCUACUUAUUUGAACAACAGGUGGUCACAAUUUCAUUAUGGUGCCAGCUUCACACAUCCAUCCCAGGUCAUUGAACCCGUCUGGAGCAAGGCUUCCAGCAGGCCACUACCGCCCAGCAGAUGUCUGACUUUUAAGUGCUGUAUGAACCAACUGUUUCUUUGAGGGCUACAUUUGACUUGUAGCCUGCAUAUUUGGGAAAGUCAAUUCAAUGACAUUAGGUUUUAUUUUUCCUGUACCAAGAUUUUCUUUUUGCACUGAAAUCAUUUUCAAAAGAAGCAUUUACAUGUAGAUAGGAAUACCGACUUGCUAUCAUUUCUCAGUUUGAUAGAUUUAGACUCAAUGUGUCAAGUGAAUGGUAGGUAACCCUUCCAAACCAAACCCAACCAAACUCAAAGCAACAUAUACUUUAGAUACCUGUAUUAGCCACUUUUCAUUCUUGUGAUCAGAAUACAUGCCAGGAUGAUUCAAAGGAGGGAAAGUUGAAUUUGGCUCCUGGUUUCACAGAGUUUUCAGCCUAUCAUGGAAAGGGAGAUCAUUGCAGAAUGGAUCAGCUCAUAGAGGUGAGUGGCAGUGGUUCACAGGGCAGCAAACAGAAGACAGAGAAAGUGAUCUCCUUUUUCCACCCAGACUCCACUAUUGAAAAGCUCCACAGUUUUCAAAAUAGUGCCCAAGCUGGGGAGUAAGUGCCAUAAGCCCAUGGGGGGCAUUGCAGAUUCAAAGCAUAGUAGUAUCCAUUGUUAGGCAUUACAAGGAGACCUCAGACUAAGCAUGCAUUAGAUAAAAUGUAACAUUUGUCAAGUCUUAAAGAUAUAUAACAGAUCUCAAAUUCAGCAAUCUAGUCACAUUACAUGAAUGAAAUGACAUGUAGGUUCAAUAGUUGAAACAGAGCAAAGAAUUCUCUAAAUUUGCUUUAGCUGUGUCUUCGUGUUCAUAUGCCACUUCAACAGAAAUGAUUGGAUAGUCUAGAGGUUUUUGCUACUAGUUUUAUUUUUAAUUUAGUAAUAACCAUCUGUAAUUUUCUAAAAAAAAUAGAUAAUUAUGUGCCUCUAUAUUGCUUCAACAUCAAAUGCUAAAAGAAAGCUGACAUUUGUCAUAGUAAGACUUUCUUCUAUAUUAUCAGCAUUUUCCUGGAGGUUUUCAUUUGUAUUUUCAAAUAAAUAAUUAAGGCACUAUAAAUAAUAAUUAGGAAUAUACAUAGAAGCAAUGUCAGAGCAGAGCUUUUAUUUUUAACAACUUUAUAGUUCUGAUGACAAAUUCAAGAAUCUUCUGGGUGUAUACACUGCUUUUUUACACACAUGCACAUGCAUACACCAAUUAUUCAAUCUUGUUUAAGACACUAACUCAUACUUGCUUUACAAUUUAGUUUAGGUGUACUAUAGCAACCUUUAAAUAUUAUUUUAAAAGCUAUCAAAACAUUAUUUAUUAAUUACAAAACAUUUUAAGUAAAUGAAAUUUUACUGCAUGGGUAAGUAUAUUAUAAACCUAAUCUAUAAACUAAGCAGCUUUUACUAAUAAAUAAACUAAAGCACAUUUCAUAGUAGCAUAUCAUGAUAAUAAAAGAUCUGAAUUAGAAUAGAAACUCUAAAUUUUGUAAUUCAUUAAGAACUAUUUACUCCUGUGUCCAAAUGGUCACAAAGCUUGAUUUAAGGGGUUUAUGUUAAUUAAAAUUUCUUUGGAAAUUAUAAUAUAGAUAAACAUUUAAAAAUAUGUCUGUCCUGCCUGUACUUAAGAGCACUUGUUCUUGCAGAGAACCCAGAUUGGAGUCCCAGCACCUACAUAAUAGUUUAUAAUUGUCUAUCAUUCCAGUCCCAGGGGAUCUGAUGCCCUCUUCUGGCCUCCACAAGCACUAGCCACACACAUGGUGCUCAGACAUGCAUGCAGAUAAAAUGCUCACACACAUAAUAAAAUAAAAAAGUCUGCCCUAGAAACAGAGGCAUUUUAAAAGAUUAAGCAUGUUAAUAGCUAUGCUGAGAAGUUUCCCCUGAACCCUUUCUUGGGUAUGAGAUCCUAAGAGACAGAUGUGCUCUUUUCUCUUGUUCACUGCACAGACUCACUGGUCAACAAAUCAAAUUGGAGUGGAGAGUUUGAAAGCAUCAGCAUUUUUUUCAGCUGAAAACUUUUCACGUGUCAUGUAUAACAGUCAUUAAUGCACAGCCUUGCUACUUCAUUUCACUUUCUUACUGUCUAGUCCAGAGUUAGACUUACAGCUGGUUUGAGUUCAGGCUCUCUUUUCCAGUGGUGAAGAGGUCUAAGGAUGUAUGUCUGAUUCCAUGCUGGCUAAUGAAACACAAAGGGAAGACCGUUGGUGUUCCUGGGCAAGAGUGUUUCUCUCUAAUAAAAAGAGAAGGAAAAAAUAAAGAAAAAAAGGAAAGAAACCUAAAGAGAACAUACAUUUACUCUCUACUUUCUUUCCUACUUUGGAUACUGUCCCAGAAAGACAGAAAACAUGGAGCUACAGUAGCCAUUUGGAAACAAUGAGAUAGAAAGCCAAAAGAAUCACAAAGAAACCAAACACCUUGAGAUGAAGGAGCUUUGAGAUUCUGAAACAACCUUUGAACCACUAGGUCCAGACUUCUUAUGACAUAACUAGAUGCUAUUGUUUAAUUAAUGGCUAGUUGAAUUUCUUUUUACUUGUAGUUAAAUGUAUUCUACCUGUAAUACCAUAUAAUUGCAUGGCUCGCAUUGUGCCAGAGAUGGCUCAUACUGACUUGUAAAAUAAUUACACCCCCCCACAAUUCCAUAUCCAGGGACUUCAAGUUGGUAACUUUGGGCUUUACGUGAUCUAUGUUGGAAGUUGUUAUGUUAUGGAACUGGCCUAAAAGUACAAAUUUUUGUUUGGUUUUGUUUCCUCAGAGAACAGGUUGUUAAUCGUUUAUCAGCACCAUAUAUGACUGUUUUUAAAAUCACAUCUGUGAGGGGCUAGAGAGAUGGCUCAAUGAUUAUGGACACUAGCUGCUCUCCCAGUGGCUCUGGGUUAAGUUCCCAGCACCCACACAGCAGCUUACCAUGGUCUGUAACUCCAGGAAUCCAAAGCCAUCUUCUGACCUCAGCAGACACUGCAUGCACAUGGGUCAUUAUUUUGUGUGCACAAGUGUAUGGGUGUGUAUGUGCUGUUGCACACGUGGAGAUCAGAGGACAACUUGUAGGAGUUGGUUCUCUCCCUUCUACCAUGAGAGUCCUGGCAAGGAAACUCAGGUCAUCAGGCCGACAGUCAGUGCCUCUAUCUGCUGGGCCAUCUUACCAGUCCCCUAUCAUCCUUUAAAGUGAUUUUUAAAUUAAAAAAAAUUUUUUUGAAAAUUUCAUACAUGACUAUUCUGCAUUUACAAAUAACAAAUGGGUAAUGAGUAUGUCAAAACAUUUUAAGUUACAGUAUUUUAGAAAUGAAAGAGACUAGUAAAUUUAAGGGAAGCAAAAUAAAGUCUCAAAUUAUUUUAAAAUGAACCCAAUAUUAUGUGUAACUAAUUAAUAGCAGAGUCAAGUUUACAAUUUGACUCUUAUUUUCAAAAACUUUUUGUGGUGGAUUAGAAUCCAGAGCCUCACAUAUGUUAGGCAAGCAGCCUAUAUUUAGCUAUUCUAUUAGCCAUUACAAUUUGAUUCUUUAUUCCCAUUUUAGUGAACGUACCAGUGUACUACAGAGCACUAUAUAAUUUAUAUAACAGUGAUAAUAACAAUAAUUCAUUGCUUGCCAUAUCUAGCCUCAAAUUCAAAUAGUAAGUUGGGGAUGCAUGAUUUUCUAUAAAUGUAUCAGCUUAGGUUUCAUAAUGCAUAUAAUCUGUGUUUAAUUAGAUAUUCCAAAAUUUGGUCUAUUCAGCAAAGAUGCAGCCCUUGAAGAAGGCUGACAUAUGGGAAGUGUGAACGUGAGAUCACAAGCUGCCAACAACCUUUAAUCAUCAUUAUUCACAGUAAGUCCUGAUGAGUAACCAGAUGAUCAGAAUGAGCUUUGACUGCCCAAGUGCAUCAAGAAUCCUCUCACAGAGGGAAUGAGCUGCCCACAGUCCUUCUCCAACGGCCAAAGAAUUGUCAGCCCAAGUCUGAGAUCUUCUACUCAAGUAAAAAUCACUGGACAGUCUUGAAAGAUAGAAAUUGCACUAGUUGCUACCAAGAAUCCAAAAGAAUGAAGAAUGAAGAGAGUACUAAUGAUUACUUUGUGACUCCCCAGCUGUGGGUCUUUGAAUAUGAGAAUGGGCGAAGUGAGGCUUAACCCAAAUUAUCUGAGUUACAGCACGAUCCCCACACUUAAUACCUUGGUUGCCCCAGCCAUAUAUACACAGCCAAGAAUGGACAGCUGAAUUAAAAAAUCAACAACAAUUUCCAGAAUUUAAAAUCCUGAAUCAUGACAUGACACUAGUGGAAUUCAGGUGUUUCUGGUACAUGGACUGCUCUCACCCAAUGUGAGGUUGAACUGUCGACCUUGUGUACAUCCUACUUCACAAAUGAGUCUGUCAGAUAUGCUAAGCCUAUAGGCUGAAGAUGAUGCCCCAACACUGUGGAGAAACCUCAGGAUCAAACAUGUUGGGAAAUACUCAUCUGGAACUUGCUGCCAUGCCCUGACUUCCAGUUUCUUAAAGGAUAUGCUGAUCUGGAUUGUGUUUUCUAUGGUUUGAACUUUUGAGGCACCCUUAGACAGUGCCAGUCAUCUACAAUGCUAAGUGCACAUAUGCUUAAUAUUUUCCUUGCAUGCUUAAUGAUAAAUAUACAGUCAGAAUGGUUAAAAAGGCAACUCUAUGUCUAUUUUACUACAUUAAUAUGUGGGGGUACAUAAGAAGAACAUGAACUUAUAAAUUGCAAAAGUUGUGGUGUCAUAAUUGUACACAAAAUAAUAAAUAAUAUUUUAUCAGUACAAGAAAAAAAUAACCAGGAGAUAAAUGUUUCCUAAAAUCUAAAAAGGAAACAUAAUAAUGAGGAUAUUUAUAUAUGACUAAGUAAAAAGCCAGAACAUAGUUUUUGACUUGUUCACUGGCAUCUUCUCAACACUUAACAUAAUAUAUGAUGCACAGUCUGUAGUCAAGAAAUAUUUUUGAAUGGGUGGUAAGAUUCUUUCCACUCUGGGCUUUUUUCUUAGUUGUCUGUUGGACCUGUUUGUUUCCUCUGGUGAAUCACGUAGCAUAAUCUUAGAACAUAAGGGAAUUAAGCUAGUGCAAUAUAAAACUCUUGGUUAAUAGCAGAUGAAAAUUAGGUCAGCUGUGGCAUGUAACAGACAUAUCUAGGCCUUUAAAAGUUAUAAACAUUUAAAAAAUAAUUUAUAUACUUCCAUUUCCCUACAGGGGUGACUCAUGAAAUUGCUAAUUUUUAUACAUUAAAAAUAUAUGGCUUCAUAAGGUUAGAUCUUAGCAUAUAAAUUCUUAGCUAGUGCUGACCUCCAGUUUCAAGUGAUGGAAACAUUGAAACUCGGAGAAAAUGUGCUUCGGUGUUCAUUAAGAGGGCUCUUCUUUGCUUCUAAAUGCCAGAGAACUAAAGUGAUCUAAGAAAUCAGAACAAAUAUUACAGCACCUUCAUUAAAACACAGGAAGCUGACACAUUUACUACUGGCUUUUAUGGUUAAUCACAAAUCUCCCACCAGAGACUGUGGAAUGACCAUCUGAAUAUAUUGUAAGAAGACUUAAUGGCCUUAAAUACUGAUUACCUUAACACACAGCGGUCUCUUCCAUUUCUGACAUUGAAACGGCACUCCCAAUUACUGUGGUUAAAAAUAUAAUAAUAAAAUAGAUCUAUAAUUUGUUUAAAAUGUAUCACUUACUACUUGAAUAAUUUUAAAUGCCUAGAUGACUAUAAUCACUUGAAUGGUCCAAGAGCCAUCUCAGUGACCAUGGACAAAGUCCAACAUAGAAAGUGAGACUCGGCUUCUGUAACCAGUCCCAUCUUUAGCUGCUUAUGAUGCAGCCACAAAAGUGACCUCAGGGCCAGGGAAAACCAAAACAAACAAAAUAACCUUCAAAGCUGAAAGCUUAUAGGGGAGAACCAGAGAAUUACAGACUGUUAGAACUUCUCUAGUGUUCUCCUGAGGAACAGAGCUGAUAGGAAGAAUAGAAUUAAAGGGGGAUUUAUUAGCUUGGCUUACAGGAUAUAGUCUGGCUAGUCCAACCAUGAAGUAGCUAGACUCACACCUGAGAGACCAAGAAUCUGCAAGUUUCUCAGUCCAUGAGGCUGGAUGUCUUGGCAGUCUCAAUCUGGUGCUGAAGACUGGAAUUUUCUUAGAAGCUGCUGGCCUUCAGCCUAAAUUGGAAGACCAGAGAAUCUGGUCCUGCUAUGGCUGAAGAAAUGCAACAGUGCUAGCAACAGACCAGAUAGGCUUGCCAGUGAGAGUGAAGAAGUCAAAUGCUUGUCUUUUAGUUGAUUCUGGAUCCAGUCAAGUUGAGAUCCAAGAUUUAGCCACCAUACUACUCUACUCGCUUAUUAGUAGUGUUCCCACUUCUUUUUUUCCCCCCAAUCUCUGCUUAUCAGGGGAGGAUUGAAGCUGAGAUUACAGAGCAGUUGUGGGGGUAUUGUGUUCCCCAAAAUAUUGUGCACCCUAAUAAACUUAUUUGGGGUCAGAGAACAGAACAGCCACUAGGUACAGAGGCUAGAAAAUGGUGGUACUCACGCCUUUAAUCCUAGCAUUCCAGAGGCAGAAAUCCGCCUGGAUCUCUGUGAGUUCAAGGCCACAUUGGAAACAGCCAGGCAUGGUGACUCAUGCCUUUAAUCCCAGAAAGUGAUGGCAGAAGCAGAAAGGUAUAUAAGGCGUGAGGACCAGGAACUAGGCUGGUUAAGCUUUUAGGCUUUGAGCAGCACAGUUCAGCUGAGAAUCGUUCUGGAUGAGGACUGAGAGGCUUCCAGUCUGAGGAAACAGGACCAGCUGAGGAACUGGUGAGGUGAGGUGGCUGUGGCUUGUUCUGCUUCUCUGAUCUUCCAGCAUUCACCCCAAUACCUAGCUUCAGGUUUGUUUUUAUUAAUAAGUACCUUUAAGAUUCAUGCUAUAGGCAAUAGUUAUUUACAUCUUCUAGUGUGACCGUCCCAGUCAUACCAGAGGGUCAAGUGAUAAUGUUGACAUAGCCUGUGCUUAUAUAUAUAUAUACACACACACACACUGAUGUGGUUUGACUAAGAAUGCCCCCUCCUUCAUAGGUUCAUAUAUUUGAAUGCUUAGGGAGUGGCAUUAUUUGAGAGGAUUAGGAGGUAUGGCCUUGUUGGAGGAAGUGUGUCACUGGGGAUGGGGCUUUGAGGUUUCAGAAGCCCCAGCCAGGCCCAGUGGCUUUUCUGUCUUCCUGCUGCCUGUGGAUCUGGUUGUAGAAUGCUCAACUACUUCUCCAGCACCAUGUCUGCCUGCAUGCUGCCAUGCUGUCUGCUUUGAUGACGAUGGACUAAACUUCUGAAAUUGUAAGCAAGCCCCAAUUAAAUGCUUCCCUUUAUAAGAGUUGCCAUGGUUACAGUGUCUCUUCAAUAGAACAUAGAACAAUAGAACAUUGACUAAGAUAUACAUGAAAAAAUAAUAUCAAUGGCACAUCUUACACCGGAGCCUAAUUUUUAAAAUAAAAAAGAACUUCCUUUCUCAACACUAUUUUUAUAGAACUUUUUUUUUUUUUAAGUUUCCCAAAAUUGUACUAUAUGUGUGAUAUUUGGCCAACCAUUCUUCUAUUGCUGGGCACCAAGUUUUUCUUUAUUCAUUCAUUCAGUGUUAUUAGUAACAUAAUCACAGCUAAAUCUGAUAAAAAAUCUAUAAUACUUCCUUUAGAAUGGAAGUUGCUGCUUGACAUUGGUGUCAUUGAAUGAUUUCUUGGAGGAAACACAUGGAUCUCAAGAGCAGAGACACUAACGUAAUUAGUAGGAGAGAAUAGACUGUAGGGAGCAGCGGAUAAGCCCUGAGUGAAUGUGUAUUGUUAACAUGGACAUAGCCAUGUCAAGGACCCAAGGCCUCAGACCAAUUCAAGUGGCAAAGCCUUGCUGUGGUCUGAGUGCAAAUGCUGACAGUAUAUGUAGUAGCUAUCAGUUCUGGAAUGACUGCAUCCUGAGACUGCUACCCUGCAGAGACCGCCUACCUGCCUCUUUGUUAAACUGUAUACCAAAAACCCACCUCUUCAAUUCAGCUGUAUAAUGUAAACACACUGAGGUUCCAGAUUACUGUUGCAUCCCAUCAGAAAGUACACAUUCCAUCCAGUUCAGCUUUGCUGUAUGGGUGUCUGUUUGUCCUUUCCUCAUUCUCUCUUCACCCCAGUUAGGUCAAUCUCCAAAGCUGUGCAGAACUCAGCAACAGACAUUUCAAACUGAGACAGCUUCUGAACACAGUCUAACUUAAAGCAGUAUAGAUGCAUGGACCAUAAAUUUUCCACUUUGUCCUUAGGUAAUUAUUUCUAAGACCAAGAAAAAAGACAGUAUAAGAAAAAUCUGGGGCCUGGAAAGGUGACUCAGUGGUUAAGAGCACUGGUUUCUUUUCCAGAGGACCCAGAUUCAAUUCCCAGGACCCACAUGACAGCUCACAACCAUCUAUAACUCCAGUUCCAGAGAACCUGACACCCUCACACAGACAUACAUGCAGGCAAAACACCAAUGCAAAUGAAGUUAAAAUUAAUUAAUUUAAAAAAGAAAAGAUAAAGAUAUUAAAAAAAAAAAGAAACUUUCGGGAAUCCACAAGGAUCACCUCAGCUAAGACUCCUAGCAAUACUGGAGAGGGUGCCUGAACUGGCUUUCUCCUGUAAUUAGAUUGGUGACUGCUCUAAUUGUCAUCAGAGAGCCUUCAUCCAGUAACUGAUGGAAGCAGAUGCAGAGAUCCACAGCCAAGCACUGGGCUGUGCUCUGGGAGUCAAGUUGAAGAGAGGGAGGAGGGAUUAUAUGAGCAAGGGGGGUUCAAGAUCAUGAUGGGGAAACCCACAGAGACAGCUGAUCCAGGUUGGGGAAGCUCACGGACUCUCCACCAACAGCUAGGGAGCCUGCAUGGGACUGACCUAAGCCCUCUGCAUGUGGGUAACAGUUGUGUGACUUGGUCUGUUUGUGGCCCCUAGCAGUGGGACCAAGAUCUGUCCCUGGCACAUGAACUGGCUUUUUGGAACCUAUUCCCUAUGGUGGGAUGUCUUUUUCAGUCUUGAUACAUGGGGAAGGAGCUUGGUCCCGCCUCAACUUGUUAUGCCAUGCUUUGUUGACUCCCAUGGGAGGCCUUACCCUUUCUGAGGAGUGGAUGGGA